AAAUAUUAAAGCACGAAAUAAGCAUGCAUAAUUGAGAACAAGAAUCAAGUAUUUAUCAUGUAAUUCAGAAAUCAAAUAAUAAAAUUCAUCAUAAGUUUCAUUUUCCCUAGGUAUCUAGAGAAUUUAGUUCAUAAUCUGAAAAAAAAACAUCUCAAAGUCAGAAAAACUACAAGACAUAAAGAAAUUCAAAUAAAUUUCGAAAAAAGUUAAAAUGAGAUAUUCAAUUUUGAAGGAGAUCUGCUUCUGAGUUGGCUCUGAUAGUGUACUUCGAGUAAUUUCUUCAAUCUUCUCUACAUGCUCCAUUAGGUCUUCUUUUUAUUGUUAUUUAUAGACUUUAGAAUGCUCAGAAAGCCUAAAAAUUGGGUUUUUCCACAUGUUAAGGAAGCAGGUUGCGAAAUUGACACGGGCUGGCACAUGAGCGUGUGGCCAGCCCGUGUGGAAAUGCUGAAAACAGCUCUGUAAUGGGCCUAAUAUGCUUGGGCCCAAUAACAAAAAAUCAAACCCAGAUACCCAUUUACAAUGGGGCCCAAUGGCCCAAAACCUAAACCUAAGUUUAGCCAAAUAGCCAAACCCUAGUAGUAAGGAGUGUCGCAGCCCUAACCUCCAGCGCCGUUCAAGCCUCCAGCACCUCUGUACGCCGUGCACCUCCACGCGCCACGCACACUUGCAAAUAGACAAGAAAACAAUAGCAAAUAGAAACAAAAAACAACGGAAUAGCAAAAAAAGAGGGCUUGUAUUUUCAUUUUUGAUUAUUGUUAGACUAUAAAGCCAAAAAACUUUUUCAUUGUAAAACUGCGAACGCACACUAUAAUACAUAUACUAAAUAGUAGAAAGAAAUCAAAAGAGUGAUCUAAAGGUGAUUUCAAAUUUUUCCCUCUUUUCUGUUGAUUUGCUUGCAUUAUUUUAACAUAGAAGAUGAAAAAGGAUGCUUGAAACAACACCGAUGAAAGCCCUCACGUCUCAGGAAUAUGGUGAUUCGGGCUAGGGUUGUUUUCUCUUCUUUUUCGUCGGAUCUUGCCUUGUUUUUGACAGAAUAGUACAGGAUUUUAAAGUUUUUUUUUUAAAAAAAAAAAGGGGAAAGGAGUACUCUUACCGGAUCUUCGUGGGUGAGGCUUUCUUCAGCAAGAUCCGAUCUCCAUUCGUGCACCGUCAGCCAUCAAAUUGAUGGUGGUUUGGGUGGCUACUUAAUGAACCCAAAGAGAAUGAAAGGUUCUGUUUCUUUUUUAAAAUUAAAAGGUUAUUUGUGCUUUGAAAGGAAGAUAAAUGGGAAUAAGGAUUUUAGCAUUAAAAUAAGUCUGCGCCUUUUCAUUAGAAGUGGGAAAUUUGCGCGUUAAAUCCUUCCUUUUGCGUGAUUAUUCAAUUGCGCCUUCUUUGUUUUGCCCUUUUUUUAAUUUGGCUCUUUAAUUUGUGUGCAUUUCCAUUUUAGUCCGCGAUACAGUGCUACGUUUUGGGCUCGGGAUAUUUGCAAUUCUAAUCCCCACACAUUCAUGCGCCUUGUACAUUGAUCUUAUUUAUGAUUAUUUGUAAAUUAUCCCUGUUAUUUUGGGUUCAAUUUUAAUUUGGUCUUUCAUUUGUAUAGUUUGCUAAUUUAAAAUGCAUUUAAUAUUUUUAUAUGUAUUAAUCUAUGUUACUAAUUUUGUUUGCUUACAUUUGUAUAAUUAUUUUGAGAUUUUUUUUUAUCUUAUUAUUUUUACAUUGUGCAUCCCAUUUUUUUAAAUAUUUUAUACAUAUUUGUAUAUACAUCAUUCUUAUUAAAUUCUUAAUCUAUAAUAACCAUUAUUUUGAAGUUAACAACAUUCUUAUUUAUUUUUGACAAGAUCAUCAUUUUAAAAUUCUUUUUACAUUAAAUUAUUUUAAUACCUCAUUAUAAACUUUUGCUUAAAUAUUUUUAUAUAUUGAUACAUAAAUUAUUUUAAUAGAGUUUUCUAUUUAAAAUAUUUCUUGAUUUCAUGAUUUACUUAAUGUUUUUAUGUAUAUAUGACACUAUUUUGGGAACUUCAUUUUUAUGUUUAUAAAAUUAUUAUUUUUAAAUGUUUCUCUUUAUUAUAUUAUCUUAGUAUCUUAUUUAGUAUUUCUUUUAAAAGUUUUUAAGUAUAAUGGUACUUAUAUAAUUUAUAAGCUAACUUAAUUUUGUAUGCAUCAUUCAUUUCAUGCCAUUUUUUUCACAAGUAAUUAUUCUUAAAUAUAUAUAUAUAUAUAUUUUGUACGUAUAUCUUAUCAUGUACUCUACCAUUCUUUCAUAUUUUUAAGUUAUUGUAUAUUGUCGUUUUUUAAAUGAAUUUGUGUUGAAAAUGUUUCGCAUACUAUUUGAUUCAUAUAAUUUAUUCUAUAAUAUUUAUUCCAAUGAUUAUAUAUAUAGCCUUAGUUUUUUUUUACCUAAAUUAUUUCAAAUUUAUCAAUUCACCCACUCAUAUAUCAUAUAUAUUAUGUGUUCAUUCGUCUAUUUUGAAAUUGUCUUAUACCACAUUGACUUCUAAAUUUCAUUUUGUCUUGUAUAUGAUCUGUUGAUUGAUUUAUAUUGUGCCAUAUUUAUUGUUGUUGUAUUUUAUUUAUUCGUUGUUUUAUUUGUUAUAUUAAUUGUUUUCCAUCCAUGCUAAAAAAUUUGAUCACAUUUUUUGUAGAAUAGUCGUACUUAAUCGUUGGAGUUAUCAAUUGUGGUUUAUUGUACUUUAGGUGUGCAUAUUAUCGCAUUUUUAUUCUUUUUUAAUGUUUCUUUGAAAUACACUAAUUAUUCUAUUCUAUUUCAAGUAAAAUUAAUACGUUUUAAGCUAGUUUUAUAACUAUUCGUUUAAAAAUUCUUUAAAACGAAGGUAAUGUUCGAUGUUUGGCAAUUUGGGGAAUCGUGCCCUAUCGUGCUGGGUUGCGAUUUCCUAUUUGUUUAAAAUAAUAGAAUAUCCCUUUAGAAUUUCACUCAUGUUCUCUAAAUUCUAAAAUAAGGCAAUGUUCGAUGUCUAGAAUUUCGAGGAAUCAUACCCUACUGUGCUGGGUUUCGGUUUUUUUCGUUCGACUAAAUAAUUGGGCAUCCUUUUGUGAUUUUCGACAUAUAAAUUUUUGGAAGUCGAAAUUUAUCGUGUUUUAGAGGAUACAAAGGAUCGUGUCGUAUCGUACUGGAUGUGAUGCUGUAUUCCUCUGAAACAAGGGAAUUUUGACAACCAACUCGGGCUAUUCAAAUAAAAAGAACCACCUUUCAAAAACUCUUUUAAAUCUCAGACAUAAGGACAAUAUUUAAUCAUUUUGGUACCAAUUUUGGGCGUAAUGAGGGUGCUAAUCCUUCCUCAUGCGUAACCGACUCCCGAACCCGUUUUCUCAAAAUUCGUAGACCAAAAUCAUUGUUUUAGUAAAUCAAAACGUUUUAUUAAAAUGACCAAACUCCUUGGUGAUCCAAUCACACCUAAGCAAAAGAUUGGUGGCGACUCCAUUUUCAUUUUAAAAGUCGAUUGUCUGUUUUUGUUUUCAAAAUUUAAAGAUGGUUUCGACAAGCUCUUUUUGCUCGAUUUUGGCUUAUUUUUCGCUCCUUUAGCUGAAAACAGCUCUUUUUGCUCGAUUUGGCUUAUUUUUCGCUCCCUUAUGCUCACUUAAGUAUAGAAACAUAAAUUUAAAGGAUUAGGAGCAUCAAAUUCACUAAUUUACAUAAUAAAUCCAAAAACGCAUCAAGAAUGGGAUUUAAAACUUGUUACUUUUAUAGCUUAUCAUUAGUAUAUUGUGGUUAAAAGAAGUGUGAAGCUAUGUCACUUGUUCGAAUAGUUAGAACCAUGAAUUUAGCCUAUAUGUUGUGGUUAAAAUGGUUAAAUUGCAAAUGUGAUAGUAUAUGUAUGGUAUAAUUGUUUAGAAUUAAACUUAUUAAGGAAGAGUAUUUGGCUGAAAUAUGUGGUUUGAAAAGAUGAAAUAGUUGUUUUGGUCAUUUGAAAGUUGCUAUUACUUUAACCAUUUAGAAAUUGUAUGUCACGUCGCGAUGUUGAGCAUGUGUCAUCAUGACGAGAUCAAAUCACCGAGUCACGUUGCGACGCGGAGCUUUAGUUGUUGGGAUGAAGCCAAGUUAGUAUGUUACGUCACGAUGAGGAACCCCCGAAGUCGUGACGUCUUGAAAACUUUACAGUUAGUCCUAAUUCAACCUUAGGUUAGCAUUAGAGCUUUCUUAAGCUUGUAUAUGACUCGAAAAUGGUUACGUAUUAUUUUUAUAUACUUGUUUUAUUAUUAUUUUUGAAUGUUUAAUGUUGUAAACUAAAUUUUGAUUUGUUUGUAGUUACUCAGACAACAAAUGUGACACCUUAUAGCUCGAACCCAAUAAUUAGGUUGGGUAUGGAGUUUUACAUCUGAAAACUUUUUGACACAUAUAAAGUCUUUUCAUCAAUUUCACAAUGUAAUUUUAACACAUCAAACAAUUAAAUUAACCACAAUGUAAGGCAAUCAAAUUUCAAAAACUGAAAUUUUGAGCAUUCGUUGCUUAAAAUCAAUCAAUCUUCAAUGACCUUCAUUUUCAAUGAUUCACCUAACUCUUUUACUUCAACAUAAAAAAAAAAACAUACCAAUUUACUAAAACUAAAUCUAAAUUAUCAAUCCAUUAUAAUUAGUUUAAAUUUAAUCUUAAACAAAUUUUAAUUACUCUAAGUUCAAAUAAUUUUUAAUACAAAAAUAAAUCAUAACACCUUUUAUCCUAAUUAAGCUAAUCUACGACUAAAUUAAUCAAAAAAUUCCUCCAAAUUAGAUUCAACCUUACUCAAUUAAAUAGUUGACUUACAUUUUCCCAAGAAUAUGUUCAUUUUAUUAUCAUAUAUAUUAAAAAUUACUAAAAUUAUUUUUCAAUUCAUUAUUUCUUUUAAAAUUAUAUUUUAAUAUUUUAAACAUAUUAUCAUUUCUUAAAUUGUUUUUUUUAUUUUUUAUAAUAUAUGUUAAUAUUUUUAUUUAAUAAUUUUUUGUAAAUAUCUUAGAUUAAUCUUGUGCAUAGUAUCUUACUAGAACUUUUGUCUCACAAUCCGUGUGGUCUUAGACAAUUUCUUCACUUUAAAUGCGCUUAAGUCAACCUAACUCUCAAAAAAUGAGAAUUCCCCUGGAAAUCUCUAAAGCACUAAAAAUAUAAUAGAAACAACUUGAAACGAAAAGAGCAACAAGAGAGUUGAAAAGUUACAAAAAAUAAUGCACACCGAGUGUUUAAGUAAAUUCUCUCAAUAUAUUUUUAACUUAAGAAUAACUUCAUACAAUAAGAUGAUCACAAAUGAAAGGGAGGCCUCUAUUUAUAGUUGAUCUCUCCAAAACUAAUGGUAUAGAUUGAGUUAUAUCGAUGGUCAAGAUUAAAGUCUAUAUAUAAUUGAGAGUCCUAAGUGAUUUAAACUCUAUACAAUCUUAUCUCUUUAGGAUUUACCUUAUUUACUCUAGUAGAGUAAUUCUAUUUUGACUGAAGGGUAUUAUUGAGCUACCAAGGCUUAAAGUAGAUGAAUUUCUCCAUGGAUUCCAUGAGUCGGGCUAGAUUAAGUGGAUAAAAUUAACCUCAUUUAAUAAAUUGACCUUUAUGAGACAUUCUGCGUGCAAUGAUCACAAGCUUUAUUAGACCUGUUCAAUGGUCGGGCUACUCGCCCAGGCCCAAAGGCUCGCCCGAAAUUUGAAGGGUUUGGGAAAAAAUAUUAGGCCCAAAAAUUGGGCUUGUGCAAAAAAAUUAGGCCCACUUAAAAUAUGGGGUCAGGCUCAGGCUUAAACAUUCAAGGCCCAAGCCGAGCCUGGUCCGGUUUGACCCAUUUUAAGUUUAUAAUAUUUUAUAUUAUGUUAUUUUUAUAUAUUAUGUAAUUUAGAACACAUUAAAAAAAACCCUAAUAACACACUUUAUUAAUCCUAAACUAGAUAAGAACACAACCCAUAAACAAUUUUGAAGAAGGCAGCAGCUAAUUUAUGGUGCAAUUCAAUGCAAAAAUUAUUGAAGAAAAUUGCAGCUAAAUGGUAGCACUUUGGAGCAGCAAAACAUGACACAAGCAAGGCAAUUGGCAGCUGUCUUGGACCGAUAUAGCAGCUAAAUUUGUGGAGAGCAAGAAAUUUAUAAAGGCAAGGGCCAAUGGCAGCAAUCAAGAAAAGAAAUUGAUGAUGGCGGUGGGAAGAAAAUUAAGAGUAAAAAUGAAAAGGUAAAUUUUUGGGUUAAGGGCUUAACAUUUUUAAGUGAUUUAGUCUUUCUUUUAUUUUUAAUGAAUAUUUAAUAUAUAAUACUAGGUGAUAUGUUAUUAAUAUAAUAUAUCUAAAUAAAUAUAAAUAUAUGAGAAAGGAAUAAAUAUAGAAAUAUACAUAUGUAAUAUAAGGAGCGACGAACCAAAAUAAAGAAGGAUUGAAAUAGCAAUUUUUCCAUAAGAGUGGGCUUUGGGUUUGGUUAUUGGGCCUUUAGGCAAACGACAAUAUUAAAUAACCUCUUUAAAUUAAUACUUAAUAAUUAAUAAAACUCCAAAAUUAAAAUUUUUGAAUAUGAAAUUCGCUUUCCUGUAAAUUUUUAGUAUUUUCUCUAGAUAUUGUUCCUCUUUUUGUAUUAAAAUAACUUGUUAAAUUGCGAGGGAUACAACGAAUAAUGUCUAAUAUUUCUUAAGAAUAAUGUCUAACACAUUUCAUGUUUAGCCUUUGUAUUUUUCACUUUUUCAUAAAAUUUCCUAAAAUGGUUACAUGUUUAGGAAUUAUUUUGUUAAAGGAAAAACUCCAUCUUUAAGAGUAUUCAUUAUGACCCACUUCUUUUUUUUUUAGAAAGUGAUAUAUAAAUUCUCCAAUAAUCCUGUUGAUUUUGUAAAUACCUGUAUUCUCGCUGCUACUGUAGAUGCUUCCCAUGUUGUCAACGUUACAACAAUGAUAAUGUCCCUUAUUAUAUUUAUAUGUUAACUUGGUGGGAAACAGCACACAAGCAUGUAUGAAAAAACAUGGUUACAAGUCCAAAACUAAUACCCCUAACUUUGAGAAAAAUGAAACCGCUUUGCCUAUGGCAAAUUGAGCCAUCAUGCAUAUCAAUGUAAAAAUCAAAAGAGAAAAAAAGACAAUCUUAUUAAGUCAAAUAUCAAUUUGGUUGAAACAGAUAACAUAAUUAUUGUGAUAAUUUUUUAAAUUAAUAUUAUGAUUAAUGCGAAAGGGUAAUCGAUAGACUCUAGUACCAUUAGAUAUAUUUGUGGCAAUCAAAAUGCAUUUACUAUUACUCCCAAUAAGAGAAAGGGGAAUAAAUUGUCUAUAUCCGAGUCUCAUGCUUUGCACAUGUGCUUAAUAAAGACAAUAUCUUGCUCAAACUUACAUGUGGAAGAAUCUUAGCCUUAAAUGAGGUACUUCAUGUUGUUAAUAUUAGAACUGUAAUAAGUCAAUUUUGUCUCGGGCCCAAACUACAAAAAUUUAAACCAAUAAAAAAAAAGUCCAUUUACAACAACAGGCCCAAAUACCCAAUCAUAGCCCAAAUACAAAACCCAACAACUCAAAAUUAAACCUAACCCUAAAACCCAAUGCCCAAGCCCACAACAUUAAACAUUUUCAGCAGGAAAAAAGGGGGUAGAAAACCCUAGCCGCAUGCCACGUUGGCGCCCCCCUCUGUCGCAAACGCCACCGCCGCUCGAGGCUCACCAACCACCGCCCUUCCAUGCGUCUGACGCCUCUGACACCUACAAAGAAGAAACUAUGCAAGAAGCCUACAUACAAAUGACAACAAAGAAACGGACAAAGAAUAGAAACAAAGGGUCUUGUAUUCGGCUAUAAAGUCCAAAACUACAUCUUUGUAUUUUUUUUACGCACACUAGUAAAUCAAAAAGGAGAACAGAAGUUUUAAAAUGUGUUAGUUUUUAUCUUUUACUUGUUUCUUUUCGUUUUCUUGUUUCUUUUUAUUUUUUACAAAUCUAUUUUAAUAAAAAAAGGUGAAAACAAAAAGAGGAAAGGAAGGCUCACCUUUAAUCAUCCUGUGGUCUCGUCAUCAGAGGUCCCUUCUCCGUCGUCGAUGCCGGAUCUAAAAAGGAUCGUGGUCCUUGUCUUUCGGCUUUUGGGUUGAGAAGGCUCAGCCUUCAAAUACGUAAAGAAAACGAGGGUUAAAAUACCCAUUUUGCGUGACGCUGGCCGCCGACCACGGUAGAGUGCGGAGGACCGCUGGCAAAACUAAGGGUCAACCAAAGGGGGAUUUGAAAGAACCUUUGGGGGUGUUAAGUUUUUUUUUUAAUUGCUUUGAUAGGAUAAGCAAACGACGCCAUUUUGAGCCCCUGAUCCUCGCGACCUGACCUGCUUUGGGGGGAUCCACGUGUUUUCGUUAAAUGGACUAUUUACGCCCCUAGCCCUUCCGCAUUCUUGUUCUUUUUAAUUUAGUCCUUUUUGCUUAUUUAUUUAUUUUAUAAAUUUGACCCCAAAAAUUUGUUGCGCGUUCCAAUUAAGUCCUUGACUCAUUGGCGAUUUAAAAAACAGGCACAUGUCCAGGGAUUGGGUUUUUUGCCCAUUUGGUCCUCAGCCUUUUCGCGCCUUUUGAUUUCAAUCCUCAUUCAAAUAUCUUGUUAUAAUUUUUACCUUUUAAUUCCAUUUUUACUAUAAUUUAAUCCUCAAGCUGUUUAAUUUCAACCCUUUUUCGCAAAUUUAUUAUUUAUUUAUUUAUAUGUGAUUUAUAUUAAGCUUAUUUAUUUUAUUUACUUUAAAUCUUUUCAUAUGUUAUUUAUUUUAAACUUACUUAUCUUAUUUAUUUUAAAUCUUUUCAUAUAUUGUUUAUUUUAAACUUUUUAUAUAUUAUUUAUUUUAAAUAUUUUUUAUAUAUAUUAUUUAUUUUAAACUAUUUUAUAUAUUAUCUAUUUUAAAUUUUCACAUAUAAUAUUCAAUUUAAACUGUUUUAUAUGUUAUUCAUUUUAAAAAUUUUAAGCUGUUUUAUUAUUUAUUUUAAGUUUUUUUCAUACAUUAUUUAUUUGAAACUGUUUUUUUAUAUUAUUUACUUUAAGUUCUUUCAUUUAUUAUUUAUUUUAAACUUUUUUAUAUUAUUUAUAUAUUAUUUUGUUUCAUUUUAUUUUGAUCAUUAAUGUUGAUAUUAAAAAUGGUGUAUUAUAUGAUUAUUGCCAUCGUACGCUUUAGGGAUUAUUUAUCAAUAUUUUCAUAGUAUUGACAUUCAUCAACGUAGCAUUUAUUCAUGUAUUAUUGCUCCCUGUUCCACAUUACCCUUUUUUUUAGCUAUUUCAUUUAAAUCACAUCGUGAAUUAGGCUCCAAUGUAUUUAUCCAAUAUAGAUUAUUUUAUUUUACUCUAAACAAAAUAAAUGCACAUCAUUAAGUGUUGUACUCGUUAUUAUUCAAAAAAGGAAAAUUUUUAAAAUAAGGUAAUAUUUCGCGUUUUGGGAAUUCGAGAAAACGUACCCUAACUUACGGGGUUUCGAUUUUCUUGUUAAACCUAAAUAGCCAAAUAUCCUUUUAAAUUUCAAAAUGCAUGAAAUUUCAAUAAAAUUUAAAGGCAAGCUUAUUCUUGAGGGUUCAAAGUGUCGUGUCUUAACUUACGGGAUGUGACAUUUUAUUACCUCGAGACGAGAGAAUCUUUAACAUUCUUUUCGAUUUAUCCGAGCGUUUUUAAAAUUAACAUUAAUAAAAGGAGGGAUCGUAUUUUAAAUUCUUUCAAAGUUUUCAAUUUUCGACAUUUAGACAUUAAUUAAUCAAUUAGGUACCAAUUUUGGGUAUAACGAGGGUGAUAAUCCUUCUUCGCACGUAACCGACUCCCGAACCCGUUUUCUCAAAAUUCGUAGACCAAAUUCACCUUUUUAGUAAAUCGAAACAUUUAUUAAAAGGACCAAAUUACGAGGUAACCCGAUCACAUCUCAUAAAAAAAAAUUGGUGGCGACUCUUAUUUUAAUUUUUGUUUUCAAACAAGUCAACCCUUUUUAAAAAAAAAUGGUUUCGACAAGAACCAAUUUAAUUUCUGUUAAAUUAUUGAAAAAAGUGAAAGCAAAAAGUUUUUUUUUAAAUCAAAUAAGAUCGUAAUGACAGAAAAAAAAAUUGUGGCAAAGGAUGACUAUUGUAGCAUUCAAAACAGUACAGCAAGUAUACUAAUAAAAUCUAAGAUAAAUAUGGGAGCUUCAAGUCAUUCAAUUCAAUCUUCACAAAAUAGAAAAUACGAGUUGUAUAAAAUUGAUUGAGUCCUCAAUAAUUUGUUUCUCUAUUAAAAGAGUUCUGAUUCGUCAACAAUAAAUAUAUCAAAUUAUAAUUAUUGAGGUAGAAUUGUAAUUAGUUGUAACUAUGAUCAGAGACGUACAACCAUCAUAUGGAAAAUAGGUAAUAACAUGAGUGGUAUUCAAAAUUUAAAUAAAAUAAAAUCGGUUAUUUCUCAAGGCUGUAGCUUUAAAUUUAAUUAUUUUACAAAAAUCUCAUUUAUUGUUACAUGAUUAGGGUUUGAAUCAAUGAAGUAAUUUGCACAAAUUAAAUUUUGUUUUUACAAAAUUCAUAAUAAAAUAUACAUUAAAUUACAAUUAAAUAUUUAAUACAUAAUCUGUGGUGUUUUUUAAAUUUCAUGAAUUAAUAUGUUUAAUUUUUUAAUGCUAUUUUCUUUAAAUAAAAGGGUAUUUUGGAGAAAGCGGUUAAAAGGGCUUGGGGGCAGUUAUGUCUCUGCGUUUUCGCUUAUUAUUUAAGAGGACUCUCAGUCUCUCCUCAACCUUUUAUCAAAGGACAGUAAUCUAAACGGAAAUUGAAGCCGAAAGCUCGUUGAAAGCCCUUACCAGCUACCAAGGUUAUUUUCUUCCUUUUUGCUAUCUUCGAUUCGUUGAAUAAUAGCUUUUUAAUGAACCAAAUUCCAUUGAAAACUGUCAAUCUCGAGUUUGAUUGUCAAAGUCAGGUUUCUUUAUGGACUUAUAUUAUGGAAUCAAAGAUUGGGUUGCUAGAUUUUUAUCCGAAUUCGAUAUAGCUUUGGAAAGAUUCAGCGAUUUGAAGUGUUUUAACUCGAAAUUAGAGUUAGAUAGAAAACCUCAAAAGCUGGGAAAAGGAAAGCAACAUUCUUACGAUAAGCUGUAACCAAAUACUAAAUUAAAGUUUGGAUUUUGGAAUCCAAUCUUUGUUUGAUUGUGAAAUGAAUCCUUCUUAUUGGGUUAUGACAUCUUAAAUCAUUGUUAACUCUGGAACACACAAGAUUGGAAUUUUGUUGAAUUUCUGAUUAUGUAGCAGUUAGGUUUCUUAAUUUAAGAGUAGGCAUUUUGGGUAGUUAUAUUGACAAGCUUUUCUGGUUUUCAGCUUUGAUUUUUCUUUCUUUUUGUCUCUGGGAUUUGAGAGUUGUGAAGGUUAAGAAGGUCUUGAGUGAUGGCAUUACAAGAGAAGUUAGAUAGAUUUAAACAGCAGCAGGAGAAGUGUCAGUCGAUGCUCUCCAACAUUGCAGCAAAAUCAGCAUCUUCUAGGUCCACUCCAAAACCUGUACCUGCGGCCGCCUCCCCCUUUCCCAGUGCAAGACCUUCUGCUCCUGUCAAAUUCUCAAAUGAUACCGAGAGGCUUCAGCACAUUAACAGCAUUCGAAAGGCUCCUGUUGGAGCUCAAAUGAAGCGUGUUAUUGACAUUCUGUUUCAGGUACUUUUAGCCCAUUUCAAUCUUUAUGGUUCAUGCUCUCAAUGCAAAUAAUUCAAGGACCAUACCUUGUUAACAUUCGUAAAUGAUUUUUAGUGUUGCAAGUUUCAUUGCUAAAGUGAUGGUUUGCUAGCUCAGAGGAUGAAUCUAUUAUGAAGCAAAACUGCUUUUAUUGAGAAAUUGAUGGCAAUGUGCAUUCAAAUACUGCAUAAAGGAGAAAUCUUCUUGUUGCUUAUGUGCCUACUUUAGUCUUCAAACUUUUCUAGCCCCGGAGCCUGACUAGCAUGUGCUAUCUGCUCCUAUUUGCUAUUGUUAUUCUCAUCCCAUUGAGUUUGUAUUGGGUUAGUUUUACCCUGCAUUUCUGAUAUGGUAAUGCAAGUAAAGUUGAAUAAUGUUUUAGCAAUUUUUAAGGGUAGCAGAUACAAGUGAUUUUGGGGUUAGAACUUGGGAUAGCAUCUAGUAGGUCCCUGCAGUAGAGCACUGUUGUAUUCUUUUGUAACCUUUUUGAGUUGGAAAUGGUAGAUUUGCUUUGCUAUAUUUGGAAAUAUCUUUUCAAAUGUCUAGUAAGAGAGCACAGGUGUGGAUUUUUACUGUAUUAAUGUAUUAUUAAUUUCAUCAAGUAGUUAUAUUGGAUUUUACAUCAGAGAAUGAUGGGAGACUUGAGAUAUAAAUCAUUUGCAUUUCGUGGGUUAUUGAAUAACUGCUAGUUUUCGUUACCAUGGACUUUUUACAUCUUUGUUUCUGCUGGCACCACUAUAGAUUAUUGAACAGACAAUAGUGCUUUGUAAGGGGCUGAAAUUAUUAACGAUCUAAAAGCUGUAAAAUAUGUAUUCAUGGUUGCAGACAAGGCAAGCUUUCACACCAGAGCAGAUCAAUGAAGCAUGUUAUGUUGAUGUGAAUGGCAACAAAGAUGUCUUUGAGGGCUUGAGGAAAAACCCAAAAGUGAACUAUGAUGGAAAGCGCUUCUCUUACAAGGUUACAAUUACUUUGUUGCUAUUGUGACCUUCGAUAGAUUUUUUCUUUUUUUUUUUAUUUCAGCAUUUAUUUUACAAUAUGCAAUUACGCAUUGUCCCUAUUGUCUAGUCUCCUUCAUAAAUAUUGCAAUUUUGUAUAAUUUAUCCUUACAGGCUAAGCAUGACGUAAAAAACAAGAAUGAACUUCUUGUCUUGAUUCGGAAAUAUAUUGAAGGCAUUGCUGUUAUUGAUCUCAAGGAUGCAUACCCGAAUGUGAUGGAGGACUUGCAGGUACACUUGUGUUGCAGAUUUUCCUUCACCCUACUUACUCCUAUGUCCCCAUAUAAUUUCUGUAAUAUGUCUUGACUUAGCUUUCAGUUUACAUAUUUCUAUUGAAGCCUUUAGUACCUAAAUUCUUUACUAAAUUUCUUUUGGUUCUUUAUUUCUUUUUCUAACAAUUAAAUGUGAUAAAAGCAAAGAGUGCAACACCUUAUUUUUGCUCACAGAUGAUUAAUAUUUGUGCAUAAAGUGGGAGAUCUUGGGAGCUGUUCUGCACAUAACAUUGAAUUGGAAGGUUUAAGUUUUGAAAUCCCAGCUUCUGCGUUUGGGUGGAAAAGCACUUUUGACUCCAAAAGCCAAUUGUUUUCCAUUGCUUUUGCGGUUGAAAAGUGCUUUUGGAACCCCAAACGCAAUGGAGAACAGGGGCUUAGUAAGCAUUAUUGAUAAAAUUCUCAAUGAAACUAUGCUUGAAUAAGUUGGUGUGGACUAUCAGUUGCUAAUUUCCUUGUAAAAGGGAAACUGACUUCAGAGUUGGUUUUUAGGAGAUUUUCAUGACAGUUUCAUUUAUUAUCGUUGUAAAUUAUUCUAAUGGCUUCUAUUCUAUUGCUUUCAUUUUGCCUGUGUUGUUUUGGCCUUUAAGGGAGGGAGGGAGGGGAACUUUUUUCUCACAAAUCUACUUGUUCAGUUCUUAAUCUUUUAUAUAUUAAAUUAUACGUUACACAUAGGCACAAAAUUCAUUUAAAUAGUGCUGGUAAGUUAAUAUGUCUGUUGCAAUGGCUGUUGAUAUAGUUAUUCUUUUUGUAGGGUCUGAAAGCUGCAGGUCAGAUUUGGCUGCUAUCAAAUUUUGAUUCUCAGGAGGACAUUGCCUUCCCCAAUGAUCCCAGGGUGCCUAUUAAGGUUGAUGAUGACCUUAAAGAGCUAUUUCGGUCUAUUGAAUUGCCACGAGACAUGCUCGACAUCGAAAAAGAUCUCCAAAAGAAUGGCAUGAAACCUGCUACUAACACAGCAAAAAGGAGGGCUGCUGCACAAGUCCAAGGCAUUACCUCCAAACCCAAACCCAGACAGAAAAACAAAGAGUUCUCCAAGAAGGCCAAGCUAACCAAUGCACAUCUUCCAGAACUUUUCCAGAGUCUUAAAAAUUCUUGAAGUCAGUUGCAGAUCUCAUAAGACCUCGAUGGGCUGCUGGCCACCACCGUAUUUAUUAAGGUUAUCACUGACGAUGAAUAAGAUAAUUUCUCAUUAUAUAGAACAAGGUAUUGCAAGGGUUCUGGCCAUGACUUACGGUUAAACCCGUAUAAUCCUACAAACUCAUACGGUGCUAUAUAUAACUCGGUACUCCAACAAUCACCAUGCUUCCAUCAAUGCUAUAUGCUAUUGGGUAGACUUACAAUGCCCUACUAAACUGAAUGUUGGAUAUAUAUGUAGACCAAGCAAUGAAAAUCCUUUUUUCUUUCCCUUGUAUGUAUGUAGCAACAAUAUUGGUCCAAUUGUUAAAUUGCAACAAUAGCAACAGUUGCUACAUUUUCUUAUUGUUUGACUUGCAUGCUUUGAAACUUUGAACUCAAAAUUUCUAAAAUGGAAAGCCUACUGGUUGCACGUUAUUGCAAUAGGACAUGCACUUUAUUAUACCUGAAAGCAGUACUGUAUCCACUGAUAAUCUGGUAGUAAUUUAAGUUCGGAUCAGAUACAAGUGGGUGAGUCGUAUGCCUCAGCAUGUUGGUACAUAUAUUUCAAAGUAGUGAUGAUAGUUUAGGGUAAUAUCCGGGGGUUCGUUUCUUCUCAUAUUUAAAGUUGUCUGCUUAAUCUUAUGACCCAUCCCUUGUUUUGCCCAUUGGUCAAUGAGUGACCAUUCAACUUCGCUUCUCUGUAUAAUUUUAAAACCCCAGGAAAGUUGUGCUUCAAGACAAGCUUUAAAUGCUUUCGUUUUGGAGUUCAAUCUUCUUGUUCCAGUCAAAAUAGUUCGUGACAGGACAUCAUGGGAGCAGGUACUUUAUGCGUCUCUUUCUUCAACAAUUAUCUUAUUUAUGAAAACAACUUCAGUUAGACAAUUCAAUAUGAUUACUCUUAUUUAUGGAUAUAAAUUUUCAAAAAAUGGUACAUGAGUUAUACUCAUUUUUCUGAAAUUGGUACCUAAAAUUUUUUUUUGUCACAAAGUGGUAUUUAUAGUAUAUUCCGUUAUUUAAAGUGGUAUUUAAACUAUUUUUUUCCUCAAGUAGUACCGAAAUUAUAUUAUGUUAUCCAAAUUACCUUAGUUGUUAAAAGAAUAUCUUACCUAAUCAUUUUGUGAUAAAAACAAAAAAAGUUAAAUAUUAGUUUCUUAAUUCUUUUUAAUUUAGAAAAUGCUCAUCUAUUUGUUCGUCACCCAAGAACUUUGAUAAUGGAAAAUUCAAGAAUAUGUUGAAAACCUUAUCCAAAUCCUGUUUUUGAUGACAAAACCCAGAUUCCGGCGAGCUUCUUUUUCGUUUCUAAACCUAAAUUUUAAUUCUAUUUUGAGUAUUAUUUUUUAAAAAACAAAUUUCUUCAUCUUUUUUAUUACUUUAUGUUAAUGUUGAGUCAACUUCUAUAAUAAUAAUAAAAAAAUUCAUAUAAAGCAUGAAAUUAUGAGAAAAGGGUGAAUAGAAAAAAAUGAUAAGAGGAUUAAAAAAAAGCAUUAAAAGAGAAGAAAGAAUCGUAGGAGUGAGAGUCUGAAUUUUUUUUCAAUUUUAAUUUAAUUACAUUUGAUUUUUUAUAUAAUUUAAUUUAAUUUUAAGGUAAACUAUACUAUUAGUCACUCAAUAAUAUGUAAGUUUUCGUUUUGGUAUACUUAAAUAAAAAAAGCUACAAUUUGGUCAAUAACUUUUUCGAAAUUGUUUUUUUUUUUAUCAUUCAACCAUUAAGUAGCCAACAAUGAUACUUUUUUAGUUGGUAUAGUGACAAUUUUAGUCAUCAAAUUUUAUAUUUUAUGUCUAUUUGACCAUAAUUCUAUAUAAAUGAUAAAAAUUAAAAUUAUUUUUUUAAAAGAAUAAGAAAAAUAUACAAAAUAUAAGAAUACAUAGAAAAUUUUAAAAAUUAAAAUGAAAAUAGAUCAAAAUUUCAGUUAAAGUGAAAAAUUAUUUUCCAUGGUAAGAAAAGUAAAAGAAAACUAUUCAAAAUCAAUUUGGUUUUGAAAAUUAAUUUAAAUGAUUUUAAAUUUUGAAAUGAGUUUGAAAAAAGAAAAUAUUGCGUUUAUUUUGUAUUUUUAUUUGUCUAAAAAAUGGUAUCAGAGUUAGUUUUAUAAGCCUUUGUAAUAUUAGUUUUAAAAAUUCUUCAAUAGCAUAAAACUCGACUUGAAGAUAUUACUAGUUUAGUUUUGUUCUAUUUUUAAUUUAUUAUCGGAUUUUAUUGAAUGACCAUUUUCAUUCUUAUGUCUCAAUAUUAAAUAAUCUUAAGCUUUACUAUAAUAGAAUCUUGAGUUUUCUUGAAUGAUCGUUAGUUUUUUUUUUAUAUUUAACCUUUAUACCAUAUGAAUAUUAUGUUAAGGGAUUAAAAUUAAUUUAGUCUUUUUUAUUAUUAUCUAUUUUCAUGAUUUAAUGGUAAUCUUGAAAUUUAUUGUUGCAAUAAUUAGAAAAUAACAUGAAUUUUUAUAUGGACUUUUUUAAAUUUUUUUUAAAUGAUAUUUCUAUUUUUUUAAAAUAACUUCUAUAUAAAAUUAGGGUUAAAUAAACAAAAAGUAUAAAAUUUAAGGGCUAAAAUUAUUAAUAUAUUCUCUAAAAAGGUGUCACUGGUAACCACUUAACAAUUUGGUGACAAAAGAUAAUAAUUUCAAAUACAAUAGUGAUCAAAUUAUAACUUUUUUUUAAUUAAGUGAUCAAAACAAAGACUCACUUAUAAUUGAACGAGUACUAAUGUAUUGUCACAAAAGUUGCCACCUUAAUAUCGCUAAAAAAACUAAUGUUUUAGUCUUCACUAAGCGAUUUAAUUUUCUUUUAAGAUUAAUAAUAGUAUGAAAUAAAAAAAUAAAAAUAAAAAACCAAACUACUAAAAACUGUAUAGAUAUUUAUUAUUGUUUUGAAAGAAGAACCCCAUUUGUCCAACCAUUCAUAAUGCAGACAAUAAAAGAAUAAAUCCAGUUAUUUUCGAGAGUAGUAGCAUUCACAUCUACAAGUGCCUUAAUUAAGCAGUCGACGAAACAUUUUUGCUUUCCUUUCAGGUCAAGCACUCAGGUUUUUGACAAAAUUAAAAGAAAAAAAAACUCUUAUUAUGAACAAAACCAGAUACGUUAAAGGAUAAUACUUUGCAUACAGAGUAAAAAUUCCAAAAAUAAUGAGCUUAGCAAAAAGGAUGCACAAUCAACUCAAUAUUUUCAGUAGUUCAUCUGUCGAUCUCAAUUUUAAUCCAGACUGCAAAAAACACAUCCUUGCCUGUAAUUAUUAAUUGGAGAACAACAUCAUUCUACAAAAAUAAUAUACAUUCAUCCAUUUAACCACCUUGUAUCAGUGCAUCUUCCUUAAAAAAAAGAUACACCUAUUUACAUUCCAUGACUUAGACUUCUUUGAGAAUCAAAGUUUCUGAAAUAUAGAACAAUUGCAUGCUUACUGUCAAACUGUAUCUACUAUAUACAUAACUAUCACGAAGAGAGAGAGAGAGGGGGGGCGGGGGCAGAAAAAAAAGCCUGCACUACAAUCAAGCAGCCAAAAAUCUGCAACAACAACAAAAAAAAGACUUAAUCAAUUGUGAAGUGGGUUUGGUCCUCCUGGAACUGUUCGAUAGGAAACUUCAUGAAUUGGUCGACUCUUUUCUGCUUUAGAUUCCUCAGAAGACUUUGUAGGGAAGUGCCAUGCGAAGAAAUCUGUCUUGCUUGGUUGUUCAUCUUCAUUACUUAGGGUCCUAUGGAUGUAUCGGCAACUUGAGAAGGCGAUGGUGGAAGAGAGUAUAAUGAUAAUAAUAAACAACAAAAAUGAGAAUUUGGGAUUCCUUAUUCUCAUGAUUUUAAUCAAGAAGAAAGGGCAGAAGAUGAAGUUUGUGGAAUUGAGUUUAUGCACCUCAUAAAGAGGCAGGUAGUAGGUCUAUAUUGAUACGAGAUCAAAGCAUUAAGCAGCAACCAAUGGUGAAAGACGUUGUCAAAAUCUAGCAAUAAAUUCAGCUUUGUAUAAUGACGGAAAUACCCUUCAAACUUUGUCUAAAUCUGCCAUCCUCUUAUUAAUUACUCCCUGCCACAUCAGUAUGAAACUAGUAACCUCUGACCCAACUUUGUAAUGGAGAUAUGGUUGCUUUUAGGAUGCCUUUAAAAGCUUAAGAUUGUGAAAGAUAAAAAAGCAAUAGAAAAGGGUUAAAUUUGGAUAAAAUCUUAAUCCCAAUUUGGGUUUGUGAAGAUCAAUUAUUGAUGCUUGAAUGAACAUGGAGAUGUUCAUAAUAGUUUUCUUCAUGAAAUGGAACUACUUUCUCAAGGUAUUUUGCAUUUUUUUUCAGUUGCAUCUAGAAAGGCUAGUCAUCAAAUAAUUAUAGGGUGGUCCAGUAGGGUUAACUUUGUAUAAGAUAGGAGGGGUUUUAUGUAGACAUAUUGCUAUCAUGGGCUCCAUUUUUUGAAGCUUGUUUCAAUGAUAUGAGUACUGGCAGAUCGAUUUAUGCAGAAAAGAUUAGUGAUGAAAAAAGAGUUAAGAUCAAAGCUUUAUAAUUGGAAUACAUAUUUAAUGCCAAGCUUGUUUGUUUUAUGAUAUUGCACACUUUUGGUUUAGAGGGGGAAUAUAAAGUGAUAGUCGAAAGUCGUAGUCACAGCAUCAGCUGACAAAGAUGUUAUUGCUCCACUGCUGAUAAUUUUCCUGGAAAGAGAAAUGGAAAAUUUUUAUGGGAUUCGAAUUUGAGGAAGUGUAUGAUAAUUAGGUAGUGUGCUAUACAAUAAUUGUCAUCAGUUUCAUCUUCUUUAUAAGUAGCUUCUCUGCUUCCAAUUUUAUGGAUUAAAAUUAUAAUAUUAAGAGAGAGUUUUCUCGUUUAAAGGUUUAUCAUGGCUCAAGUUUGAAUAUAAUGAAGAUUCGAUAUAAUUGUUGAAUAUCGAGAGAAUUCAAAUGGAAAGAAAAUCUUAUUUAUAAAUUGAGCUAAAUUUAUUUGUUCAAGCUUAACCCAACUUGAAAUAUGACAUUGAAAUUUUGUCCAAGUCUAACUAUAUAUAUAUAUAUAAUAUAUAUAUAUAUAUAUAUUUGUAAAUGAUUAAUUCAAGUUCAUUUUAAGACUCUCGUAUUAUUUAAAAAAAAGUAAAAUAUUUAUGUUUAAUUUAAAAUUUAAUAAUUUUACAUGUAAACAACUUAACAUUUAUUUAAUAUUUACAUUAUAAUAUUAUAUUAAUAUAAAUAUAAAUUUUAUGUUAUAAACUACAUAUAUAAAAAUAGCAUAAUAUAAUAUAUUAGAAAAUGAGUCGAAAUAGACCUGAGUUUUGAAUGUUCAAAUCUGAGCCAAACCAAUAUUUCAAACAAAGAUUUUUUUUUUUGCCAAUGUCUACUCUUCGGAUCAAAUAUUUUUACUAGAUUUUUGAGCUUGAGUGAAUAACCAAACCCUUAAAAGCAAGUCUAUUUCGGAAAUAGCUACUUCAAUAUCUUUUUUUCUUUAAUGGCGUGUUGAAAUUGGAACGAAAGUACAAAAUAUUCCAUGCAACACAAUGUUAUUUCCCCUUAUUGCAUUUCUUUGAAAUAUUGUAUUAUGUAAACUUCUAAAACUUUUUAAUCUAUGCAUGAUACACUUUGGACUCAUAAUUGAUACAGUAUCAUAAAGUCUUUAUAUGAUUGCAUUUUUGUCUUUUAAUCAAAUUAUUUUUAUAUAAUUAAUAUGCUGAUCUGAUCCAAUUAAAAGAAUUAAGUUUUAAAUUGAAUAAAUAAAUAUAUAUAUAUAAGGAUUGAACCUAAUAUAUAAAACACCAAAAAUAAAUAUUUAUUCUCAAAGGAUUAAUUUACUCAUCCGAGGACCAAAAUGCAAUGGGGAACACUUAAAGAGGCUAUAUAUUCUCUUCACGCUCCAUCUACUGAGGGUCAGGUGUUGUUUAGCUAGAGAGGGAUGUACCCCUACGCCAUUCCCUAGUAGCGCUGGUUUCUAAAUAGGCAAUUAGAUGGAAAAUGUCGUUGAUGCUCUCCCGUAUUAGGUCCUAAUGGGGCCUCUAAUUAAUUCGUCAUUAAAUAGGUGGUCCAAUCCUAAUUUGAACAUACAAUUAUAUUUAACUUAAUAAUUAUUUAUACAUUAGAGUCUUGAACUUUUUUUUUCUAAACUAAACCCUAAAUUUAGUUAUUGUUCCUAUAUCAGUGUCUCAACUAGGCAACUAUUCUCAUAUUGGGGCUUGAAAUUUUUUUGUCCAAGUUAAUCAUCAAACUUGACAAUUGUUCCUGUAUUAAAGCUUGAACUGGAUAAUUGUUCCCACAGUGGAGUCUAAACUUUAGGAUUUUUAAAGAAAUAUAAUAGACUAACUUAGACCGAAAAAUUAUUCAAGUCCUAAUGUGAGAAUAAUUAUUAGAUUUAGAUUCUAAUUUAGAUAAAAGAAUUCAAACCCUAAUAUUAAAAUAAUUACCAAGUCCAUGCCCAAAAAGUUUUUUUUUCUUUUUCUCCUAAGCAUGUGAUAUGCUACGAAAAAGGGAAGAAAAAUAUGCAUUAACAAGCAAAUAACCAAAAUUGAAAGAAAACUUUGCCUAACGUGUAUCUCAUAAAGAUAGCAUGUGGAGAUAAGCAAUGGGAGCAGGGGCUAUGCCAAUUUCAACAAAUCCUAUUGUUUAUCUCUCUAGCUUUGUGGAAGGAUUAGUAAGAGUGAUUAGGGUUAUAUUCAUAAUAAUCAGUAAUGAUUAUAUUUUUUAAUUAAAAAAAAAAGUAGAUGGGUUGUAAAAUUGAAAACUAAAACUAAAAUUGUAAAUGAAAAUUAAUAUAAUUGAUUCCACAUUGAUACAAAGAUAAAUUUUAAUAUUCUUUAAUUUAGUUUUAAUUACAAGCAAAACUCCUCAUAAUUAAUCUAUUCUUACUUCCUCGAUAAUUUUUUUUAUUCACAAAUAACAUUAAAAUGAAAUGUUUAAAAUUCAUUUCAUCUAUAGUACCGGAACUUAGAGAGACUCAAUUUUAGCCAAAUAUACACAUAAACAAGGUUUAUUUAAACUAGACUACUAAUCCACGUAACAAUAAUUAAAUGCUAAGACAUACAUGAUUAUUCUAAUCAUAUGACUUUCAUUUUAUGUAAUUGGGGCAUCAUAAUAUUAAUAUAUAAUUUAUGUGUAAUUCGGAUACUAUAAUUUUUACAUAUUAAUUUUAAUUUUUAAUUAGCCAAUUAUCAAUUAAAAAUUAGUUACAUAAGUAUCUACACACAUUGGCAUAGUUAAUGGGGCAGGCAAUGGUCUCCCCUCGGUUAAGGGGUGGAAUAAUAGUUUUAGUCCAUUUUAGUUAUGAAUUAUUUAAUUUAAGUCAUUUUUAAGCAAUUUUUUUCUUUUGCUACUCAAGCUUUUAAAACAUUAUUUUGGUCCCCAAUAUCAUAUUCAUAAUUUCACCCUUGUCUACACAUAUUUAAUAAUUAAAGUCUAUUAUAUUUGAUCACUUUUAAAUUGGACUAACCUUUUAUGAUAAUAAAUAAUAACAUAUAAUUAUUUUUAUUAUAUGUACAUUACAUCCAUAUUACCCAACAACCAGACCUAACUUUAAUCCUAAUAAUGCGCAUUUGUAAGUUAAAAUUUGCAUAAAGGUUGGAAAAGACAAACAAACCCUUAAAAAAAUUGUAUUUUAACAUUAAACCACAGGUGUUGGGUAACUUAGUGCUCACUUUAUAUGUUAGAAGGAAUGGAAUGCACCUUAAAUAAAAAUUUAUCUUACAUUAUGUUCCCUGGUGCUUAUUGUUCAAACUUUUCUUCUCAUUUGAGCUUCAGAACUAUUCUUUGCUAGAAAGCUCCAAACUUCUUCAAAUCAUAAAUCAUCUUAAAAAUCAACUUCAAACUCUUUUUGCUUCAAUUCUAUUACCUAUUUCAUGAAAAUUAAAAUCCAAAAAUUAGACAUUUAAACCAUAAAAUACAAAAGAAAACAUCAUAAAAUAAAUAUAAAUUAUGCAACCUAACAAACUCCCCCCACACUUAAACCAUACUUCCCCUCAAGCAAACAAUAGUUGAAAGUCAUCAAUUCUCACAUUAAAGGUUGAUUUUUGUUUCUAAAAGGAUGUUCAAAAUAAGCAUUUUAAAGGCUUCAAGACUAACUACUGCUGCCCCUCUUUGACUCACAUCUUUUCUGAUGAUUGCCUUUUCUUUGGAAUGAUUGUUAAAAAAAUUGUUCUAUAGCUUUGAAGCUUCUUUAGAUGUUCAAAAAUGCUUCAAGUCGAUCGGUGAAUUUUAGCAAAUCUUCUAUUCUCUUAUUGGAGAACACCCUUGUUGGAAUUUUGUGUACUCGAUUGGUGUGAAUGACAUGAGAGAUGACUCGAAUAUUUGAGUCUCCCAUCAGGUGUCCAUUGAUUUUAUUUGCAAAAAAGAUCCAAAGACAGGGAAGCUUCUCUCGCAAGCAGGAUGCGAAGGCUUAGAGAGGUUAUACUUGUAAAUGAAUGUAAACAUUGAGGUUAUCCUUACGAGUACAUGAUAGAUUAAGCUUAAAUAAAUAGUUAUGUUUAUUAGAAAUACUUUUGGUUCCCACUGCAGCGUUGUUAACAACAGUAUAGCAAAUGUUAUUUUUCAUCUUUCUUGUGCUGAAAUUUCCAAAAUGUUUUGGUGCCUUGAGUUACUUAGAAAGCAAGGAAGAAAAUCCUUCCUUCCGAAUUAAUAAACUUUCUCCCUACUUUCUUAUUAUCAAAUCUUCAUUCAAUUUGGUGCUGGAAAUCUCAGGUUGAUUAAAGAAAAAGCUAAUAGUCCGAUUAAGUGUAGCAAAACAAAAUCCAUUCAAAAUAUCAAAUUUCAUUAAAGUGUAAAUGAGCUGAUUAUGCAAUAUGAAUUUUCUUUUGAAAUAAGAAUGGCCAAAGUGUCACACUGAGUACAAUGUUUUAAUUAAUUUUUACAUUCUGAACUGAACCAUAAAAAGAUUAAAUUAAAUAUAAAAUCUGAAAACAAUGACUCCCCCCCCCCCGGGGUACCAAUUCAUCUAAUUUAAGUCUUAAUUAAUUUUUACUCCACAGUAGGCUCAUACCACUUCAGUUCUGAUAUGAGCCCACAAGCCCAAGCUUUGAUGAACUUCCAAAUCCCUUGAAAUCAGACAUCUCUUUCCUUCAAUCUAAUAACAAAACAUUUCUAAUUAAGAAAGAAAACAGUAGACAAACACAAGGAUCUUAAAGAAUGGUAGUUGAUUUUACUGACCAAGAAUCAAUAAUGGAGUGAAUUUAACCACGAUUCAUCACUUUUUCAAACUUUACACUGCCUUGUCUGGCCGGCAUUUCGUCUUGCACAACAUCCCACAAAGUAUAUAAUCGACUGCCAUAGCAAAACCACACCACUCAAACAAAUUAACAAUAAUCUCUACGGAAUCGAAUUGAAUGGUAUUUUUUUUCAUUGAUGCAACUGAGGAAAGAGAUCUGCAGAUGGUAGGAAAAACAUUAAUAAAAGAGAAUCUUACCAAGACGACAAAUAGUGCCAAAUUAAAGAUUGCGACGACUCUCCACUCGGUUUUCAUGUAUUGUGCAACUCCUGCCCUGUGAAGCGAUCAAAAGACAGCAAAUGGUAGUGAGAACUGUAUGCAAUAGAUGAGAUGGGAUGUAGGAAUAUCGAAAUGCUUACUUGCAAGAAUCGCAAUUAUAGCAUUUCACAACCCGAGAGUUUUUGUAAAGCUUGCAGUCCUCAUUAGAACUAACUGGAUGAAAGCUCAAGUCAUAGUAUGAAGCAUUGACAACGGGAUAACCACAUCUAUGACCAAGUUAAAUGGAUAAACAUGAUUAAAUAUAGGUGCAAGUGCAUAGAGCCUGCCUAACUCGGAAAAAUAAGAACAAAAAGACAAUUACUCGGAUGGGGGUCGACAGCAACCAGCUUCAAUAGGCGUCAGUUUUGCCAUCUUAUACUGCUUAAGAGUCUGAAAAUCCGAUUUGAAACAUUAGAAUAGAUUCAGGGGAACAAGUACCACUCGAGAGUUAAAAAGUAGACCUUGUAUUGUUUUGCUAGGUUGUUGCAAUCCUCAGAUUUCACAAGACAACUCUUCAAUCGCUUCCAAUUAUCGGUAUUAUUCAGCUGACAAAAAACAAAGGCAAAUGCUAAAUACGGCAAAACAAAGUGGAAGUUACGUUGCCAAUAAAAUUGAAAGCCUCACCUGCUUUAGAAACCAUGAACUAUAGUCUUUAAGCUGAUAUUCCUUGUAUCUGAUAAGCAAAGAAGAUAAAAGAAACUAGGGUCAUAAACCAACCUCACUAAACCAAAUCGCAAAACAACAAUGAUACAUUUUUUCGAGGCAAGUAUCAAAGAAAACACCCAUGGAAGAAAAAAUGGAUUCAGCACAUAGAGGCAAUGAGAAAAAUCUUCCAUUGAAGUGCAUAUUUCCAUACCUCAAGCCAGACACAUUAUGACCAGAUCCAUUAUUUGUUAUAAUGAAACUGCAAGAAAAGGCAUAAAAUCAAUUCGUAUAACUUGCAAGCUCUUGUGAAACAAGGAGUACAAAAGAAGGCCUUCAAUGAUGCAAACAAAGUAAGCAUGGGAAUGUGCCAUGGAAACAUAUAACCUAAGGUAACCUUACAAAUUAAAAGGAAAAGAAAAGAUCAAGACCUAAAUGAAAACAAAUAGCAUAAUGCAGCAAUCAUUUGUUGCUCGAGAAGUCUGAACUUAAGAUAAUAGAAUCACAUUAGCUAUAAGACACAACAAGCUUUUUCCCGGGAUCACUAGUAACCCGAAAAAUCUAUACAUCUUUGUAUAACCAUAUAUGAACAUGAAGUUUACUUGAAUUAAAAAUACUUACGCCAACACCGUGAAUACCAGGAUCGCCACCAGAAUCAUGCAUAACAAUAUCAAAUACUGCAAGCCAAUGAGUCAAGGAUUCCCAAGAAGGAAAUUAAGAGAUAACUGAAGCAACAAAAUUUCUAGAAUUCUUAAUAACUCAAAAGUUAUAUAUGGAUACAAUCCACAAUAGUAUUGCGUUCUUCUUCAGCGCCCCCAGAAACCCGAUCAUGGAUCUAAAUUUCGAACAAAACAACUGUAAUUGUAAGUUCCCUAUACAGAGAUAGGGAAUUAGGGUAAUCAUAAACAACAGAGUGAUAAAAACUUACACUAAAAAAAUGAAACCACCAAGCCCUAAAACUGGAAGAGUAAGGGAUUUUCGACAUCCAUCAUGGUGAGUGCUCAUCCAUACCCCAAAAAUUGCAACAGCAAUAGCUAAAAGCUGCCCAUUGAAAAGCAUACACAACAAACAUAUAAUGACCUACAAACAAGGCAAAAAAUUUCGAAGUUUUCUCUUUUACUUGUACAAGAACAAGAACUAAAGCAGAACCAUCUAAAUAAGCAACCGAUUAUGGUAGAACAGGUAGAAAAAUAGUAACUUUUCUGCAAAUCUAUACAUUGAGUUGGCCUACCAGCUCAAUGUUCAAGAAACUAAAGAGAAAACCCAAAAAAACUUCAAUCUAAGAACGAAAGAGCAGAAAUAAAGCUGACAUUGUGACCCACAAUACAAAAUCAAACCCAUUUGUGAUAAUAUCAUAGCAAGAGAAAAACCCCAAAAAGAAGGGCAUACCAUAGUAAGGAAGUUGAUCCAUCUGAUCACAAAAUUGCUUGUUCCCAUACCCAUUUUCACUUUUCUUUAAAAGAUACAAGCUUUACAAACAAAAAAUACCCCCAAAAAACAAAAGGACCUAACAAAGAAAGCGGUGAUGAAGAUUUUUUUUUUUUGGGGGGGGGGGAAGCAUUCAAGAGUUUGAAAAGAAUGAUUUUUGGAAAUAUAAAUAAAAUGAAAAGAAAGUAUUAGAAGUUUCUUGAGGAACUCAGAUAUGGCACUUGCAUUGCAAGAGAAGAUAGAGAGAAGGGAAGCAAGGCAAGUAGAAAGGGAAACGUGAAAGCCUGAAGGGCGAGAGAAGGGUAUUUUGGUCAAUAUACAUUCACAUGCCUCAUGUUUGUUUUUUUCCAGUUCCACAUAACAGAAAGCAAAGCUUCUUUUUUUUGCUUAUAUCAUCAGGAUUUACGACGAUAUCCAACAAAACCACCCUGAUAUUAUUGCAUACAUACAGUGAUAGGUUUUACUUAGAUUAUUGCGUAAGACAAGAAGGGUCGACGACGUAUGUUUCUUUUUGUGGUAAGAAACCCAGUUUAACAAUGGUGUGGAGAUUAUUAUUAUUACAAAUUUGGGAUAGCGAGUGGCGUGGCAUUUUGCUGUCAGAACAGAUAAGAAAGUGGGUCAAUGUUAGUGAAAGAAAGUAGAAGCAAUUAAGGCGUCUUAGCAUUCAAAUUUAGCUGAAACGUAGACUCAAAGGGAAAACCUUGUCACGGCUGACUUUAUUGCCGUUAAGGACGAUCCAGCUAUGACUUCAAACCUUCCUUGUUUUGCCAUUUAUUUCUUUUUUUUUUUUGCAAAAAGAAACUGCCGACCUGUUAUGUAGUAAUAUAAAUCACGGUUCAAGUUCUAUAUUACCCUUUCUUUCUUUUUUUUAUAUCAAAAUUUAAAAUACCACUCAUCCUUAAACUAUUAAUAGAAAAAAUUUAAUCUUUUAUUAUUUAUAAAUUUUAUCAAUUUAGUCCUUAAUUUUUCAAAAUUUAAAAACAAAUUUUAUUUAAAAACUUAUUUUUUUAAUAAAAAUACAUACAAUAUUAUAAAUAAACGAAUAUUCAUUUUUCUAACAUGAACUUUAUUUAUUAAAAUAAUAAUUUUAUAAUAAAAUAAUUUUAUUAAAAAAUUCACUAGACUUAAAUCAAAUUCAAACAUUUCUUCUUCUUCUUCUUUUUAUAUUUUAUUUUAUAAAUAAUAAUUUAUUUAUUAUACAUCUAGCAUUGUUCUUAAGUCCUUGUUAAAUCUGCAGAGAACUAGGAGCUGCCUUCACUCACAACCACCGGCUCCAAGAACCUUUACUUUGAACUCCUCAAUUUCCACAUCCUCCAUCAUCAUGCCAUCAAACAAAGAAUUGGUUGCAGAGCUAUUAGCAUGGCCUUCAACAUACUGAGUCUCUAAUACCUCAUCCUCACCUAUAUAGCCCCAAUCAUGUGCACUCUCAAGCACAACCUCAAACGCAAUAAGCUUAUUUUGGGCAAUAACCUAAAGACAUUAAUUUUUAUCCUUUUUGACCUCAGGCUGUAGCUUUUUUUACUCAAUUUGAACAUGGUUGUUGUUAAUGUUAAGUGGGGGAAGUUGAAUUUGCUAAAAUCUUCUUCAUGAUUUUUUUGCUUAAUUUGUUUUAUUUAUAAAAAUUUUAUUUUAAUAAAUAAAUGUUAUGUUAAAAAAUGAGAAUAAUAUAUGUUGAGACCUUAGUUGUCCAAAAUAUUAAAGCUACAUUCGUGGUUUGAAUAUUUCUUUGAACUAUUUGUUGGAACAUUUUGUUUAUUUGAACAUUUGUUUGGAUAGACUGUUGAGACAACAGUUUGGACAUCUAUUUACGACAAUAUAAGUGCAACAAGUUUCUUGAUAUUUUUUACUCAUUUCAUCUUGUUUAGUUUUCUAUCAACAAAUUAUUCUUAGAUUAAAACAAUUAAUUAUUUUUACUUGGCUGGUAUAUUUUAUUUCGAAUGGAAUGAGUGGUUGAUUGAAUGUAAACAUUAUCAAAAAGCUAUUAAAGAACUAUCGUAUCAACCUAUAAAUAGGUUGCAUUGCCGUUGAUUUGUGUGUGCUUGUGAGAGUGCUUUUGGCUUGUUAUUUGUUUAUCUUUACUUUUUGUGUUAGGCAUUUUAUUAGAGAGUUAAACAUUGUUGUAAGUGAGGUUGCUUGGGGUGAGUGAUUGUAACAAUUGGGUUCAUUGUUAGGGCUGCAAUUAUGAUUGUUGUAAGGGUAAAUUGAACUUUAGUGGAUAAGUGAUAUGGACAAUUGUUGAAUAAAUUCAUUCAUUGAGCGAGGCUUUAUAGUGUAAGAUUGAUGAAUUUAAACUACGCUAACAAAUAUCAUAUGUUGAUUUCUCUCAUUGCCUUACUUUCCUUUUAUAAACUAUUUGUUCCUAUAUAAUAUAUGCUUUUAGUCCUCAUGGCCACAUUGAACAAGUUUGGAAACUUGGUUUAAUCGGCUUCUUCCACAUAGCACAUGUACCGGAGCAUGAGUACUAAUGGCACCAAGUCUUGUUUCUUACAUAGGAUGAGCAGCCUAAGUGCAACACUAUAAGAUAUAACAAGUCACAAACAAAAGGAGGAGAAGGUAGUGUAAAUUCAACUUCGAGAAGGUGUAAAGGAAGACAUGGCCUUACACUACCAUUGUUAGGCUCAGAAACCCCACUCAAAUGAUACAACCUAGUAGCUAGGGUAAGCGUUCAACUGAACUAAAUUGAAUUAAAUGAAAUAAUUUCAAGUUAAUCGAGUUGACGAAUCCUAUUUUAUCAUCUUAACUCAAUUUGAAAAUUUCUUGAAUUGAAUCGAAUAUAUUUGUUCAAGUUAAAUAAAAAAAUGACUUUGGGUCUUUGUAACCAUUGCCACCCACCGUAAUCAAAAUUGUUAUUAAUUUUCAUCCCCUCAUAAUUUAUUUAUUAAUCUUUUAUAUACGUGUUAGCUUUUUUGCUUAAUUAGUUGCUUCAAUUAUCUUCUGAUUCUUGUCACCAUGUAUUUUGAAAUUUAAAAAAAAAUAUUAAAUGAAAAAACGUAAUUUUUUAAUAAAAAUUAUUUUAAAGAUAAAAUGUGAAAUUGAUAUCAACAGAAAAUUUUAACACGAAUAAUUUAUGGCAUCAUCAAUAAUUCAACUGUAACAAAAAUUGAUAAAUAUUCAACAUGGUUAAACAAUUCAAUAAUAUAAAUAGUACAAAAUGUGAAAUUUAAUUCAAUAAUAUAAAUAUUAUACAUAAAUUUGAAAAAAAAAAGUUUUUUGGGGGGCGGGGUUUAGGGAAAUUAAAAGUUUUGGGGAGAAAGUAAAGGAAAAAGGUUUUGAAGAGGAAAUAAAAGUUUUGGGAGGAAAGAAAAAGGGAAAAAGUUUUGGGAGUUUGGGGAAAGUAAAUUUUUUGAAGGGAAAGUAAAAGAGUUUAAGGGGGUUGGGGGGAAGGAAGUAAAAAGGGUUUGAUAUUCGAAUUAUUCGAGUUAUUCGUAUUCGAAAAUUAAACUUAAAAUUCAAGUUGAUUCGAUUAAUUUGAUUCGGUUAGCUCGAAAUUUAAACUUUUUUUUAUUUUUUUAAGUCGAAUAGAAUUUUGAUCACCUCUACCAAUCACGAUGCUGAUAUCAUGUUUAUAAUGUUUAUAGAGUAACUCACGACACGUAAUACCCCGAAAAUUUCUAUAGUAAGAUAUUAUUCUUAAUAUAGAAAAAUAAGGAAAUAAGUGAUAAAAAGGGAAGUUUUGAGUUAUGACAACAUUGGGAAGUAAAUUAUGAUAUCUUGAUUCAGGAAAGGACUAAAUUGUAAAAGUGUGAAAAGUUUUGUUGCACAAGAAUAAAUAUUCAAAACUUGAGGGGUUAAAGUAUAAAUAUGAAAAAAUUUAAAGACCAAUAGUGCAAAUAUUUUAAGGGUGGAAUGAUCUAGGAACCAAGGAAAAUGGAUGAUUAGGACCAAAUUGAAUAGGUGAAGAAUUAUGAGGGACUAAAUUAUAAUUUUACCAAAUUAAAUGAUGGCUCAAGGUUAGAAUUUUAAAAGAUAAUCAAGGGCAAUAUGGUCAACUAGAAGGAGCGAGAAAUCUAGAGACAAUGAUGAUGUUGGAGAUAUUUUAGAUAAAUUAAAUGAAUAAAUAUUAGUUUAUUAAUACUUUAAAUUGAUUUUUAAAUAACAUUUUAUUAUUUUAUUAUUAUUUUAUUUAAUAUAUAUAUGUAAGGAAAGAAAGAGGAAGAUGAUCACCUUUCUCAUGCAACUAACGUGAGAAGAAGAAAAAGAAAAGAAGAAGUUUUCCUUUCCUUAUAAUUUGGUCCUUCCACUAAAAAUUCACCAUUUUCACCUAGAAAUCAAAAGAAUUUCUAUAGCCAUCAAGAGAGAAAGAUAACAAGGAGACUAUGGGGAGCUAGAAUAUCAAGUUGAAUUCAAGAAAUAGAAGCUGGAGGAGAGACAAAAAUCAAGUUAAAGGUUGAAAUCAAUAAGAAAAGGUAAGAACAUCAAGAUUUCAAUAUAUUUUUAAGUUUGAUAUUAUUAAAAAGCAUGGAAUUGAUGUUAAUGUAGAGUUUUCUUAUAUAUGGACCUAUGUUCUUGACAUGUUAGUGAAGAGAAAAUAAGAGAAAGUGAUGAGAAAUAGUGUAGAGAAAGAAAAUAAGGGUGUUAUAAACAUGGUAAAUAAACAUCUUGCACUAAAAUAAUUUUGGACAGCAACAGUAGACUAAAUUUGAAAAAUCACCAUAAAUUGUCAAAAUCAAAUUAGAGAAUUAAAAAAAUAUGAAAUUAAAACUUAUUGAGUCUAGUUUCUUAUAGAAGAAACGGUGUAAGAAAUGAAAUUGUGAAUUAUGAGUUAUAAUAAAUUUUGUGAGACAAGGUCAGAAUGAUUUCGGGUUCCCCUAUUCUGAUUUAGAAAAUCAUAAAAAAUUGGAGAAAAAUAAUUAAGGGCUUAAAUUUAUAUUUUUAAAAUCCUUAAUGAGUCUAUUUUCAAUAUAAAUAAGCUGGAACAUCAUCCGAAUAUCGUACGAGGAGAUAAUUAAUUCUUAGCGAAGAAGGGUCAGAACUGUCAGACAACAGAAUAGGGGUAACUUUAAAGAAUAAACUGUACUUAUUGGCUAAACAAAAAUUCUAAAAAAUUUAUGGUAAGAAGAUAUGUGAGACUAGUUUCAGGGAAUAUUAACGGAUCUUAAUUUGGAGUUCUGUAUCUUAAGGUAAAAAUAAUUUAGUGACUAUGACACGAAUAGAUAACUUUGAAUAUAUAUAUAAGUAAAUAGUGAAAUUAUAGAUAAUGUUACUUAUAAGCAUGUUAUAUACAUUAAGGAUGUGGAAUGGAGAGGAGGAGGAGGAAAAUAUAUAUAUGAAUAUUAAUUUGCAUGUUUUAGACUCAGAGACUAAAUUGAAUAAAAGAAAAAUUGUAGGGGCAAUUUUGUAAAAGCUCAAGCUGUUGUAUGUUACCCGGAUGAAAUAUAGCAGCUACAAAUGUACCGUAAGUUGUCUGGAUGAAGUACUUUUUUUUAACAAGCGACCUGUAUAUGAUUUGACAGAAAACUUUAAAAAAAUCAAAAAAUGACCAAAUUGAAGGAAAUGAAUUGUUUUAUUAAUUAAAUUAAUAAAUUGAAUGAAAUUAUUAAUUUGGAUCAAGAUUGGGUGAAAAUUCGAGAAAAUGAAAAAUUUUCCAAAAUGCUCCUGAAUCUUGAUAUCUCUGCAAUUUAGCCAGGUAAGUUCGUGUAACUUGAAUUAUAUUCUUAAAUGCUUGAAACGUAUGUUAUUGAUGUGAAUAUGAUUUAAAUAUUCUUGGUAUGAAAAUUGUUGAACCAUUGACAUAUUUGAUAAAAGGGGAAGAAAUCCGGGUUGAAUGAAAGAAAAAUUCGAUGGAUCUGUAAAAAAGGAAUUGACGGUAAAAAGGAUCUAGCCCGGACGGGUGAUCCUAUCCUAAUAUAGCCCUCCCGAAGAAUAUGUGUAAAAUGGAUUUAGCCCGGACGGGUAAUCUGAAUUAGGGUCUGAAUUUAGCAUGGACUGGUAAUUCAGAUCCAAGCUUAUUAGAGUAAUUGUCGUUGCAGGAGAUUUAGCCUAGACUGGUAAUUCCGACAAUACUCUAUGAGUUUAUUUACAGGGGAUUUUGCUUGGACUGGUAAUCCCGCUGUAAGGAUGAGGUUCGCGGGAGUAUACUUUCCGAAAUGAAAUGUGUAAGACCAUGGUUGAAAAAUACCAUGGCAACAUGAUAUGAAAUGUGUAAGACCAUGGUUGAAAGAUACCAUGACAACAUGACAUGAAAUGAAUAAGACCAUGGUUGAAAGAUACCAUGGCAACAUUACAGAAAAUGAGUAAGACCAUAGUUGAAAGACACUAUGGCAUCAUGUCGAAGAUAAAUAAGAUCGUGGAUGAGAGAUGCCGAGACAUCUGUUGAACAACUAAUAUUCAGGUAAUAUGUACCAGAUGACGAAUGGUUAUAUGAAUUGGUUAUACAAAAUGGUUGUGUGAAAUGUUUACAAGAAUUGGUCAUAUGGAAAUAUAUGUCCAAAAUAGUUGUAUGAAAUAAUUAAGAAGAUAGAUAAAUGAAAUAAGUAUAGGUACAUGGAAUUUAAUUUAUGUUAAGUUUAACAUGAACAAUUACCAAAAUAAAUAUACAUAAGAUAUAUAGAAAUGAUGGUGCAUGAAAUAUUGAUAUAACGAAAUAAAUGAUAUAUUGUUAUGAAGAAACGAUAAGAGAAUAAUAUGUUUCGUGACAUAUACAUAUAUGAUUAUCUUUGAUAUGUUGAUACAAGGAAAUUAUGUAAAUUGAGACUAUUAUUAAACUCAAGUGUGUAUGUCGAGAAAAUAGGUAUAUCAAUGUUGAAAUUAUAUGAAAUAUGUACAAGUAUACUAACAAUGUUGUUGUUUGAUACUUAGAUAAGUGCCAAGCUAUUGAUUGAACGGUAAUAUGUUUAUUUAUAUGAUGUAUUGAAUCAAUAAGUAUUCAAUUGAAAUUUUUAUUAAAUGAUAUGUAAAUCCUGAUAAUGCCCCGAAACUCUGUUCCGGCAAUAGAUACAGGAUAGGGGUGUUACACGACAUCUUAAUAACAUCCACAUCUCCAUGUCUAUUAUAGAGGAGGGAUAAGAAAGACCACCUACUGGUUCAUAUUUUUUCGUUAAACCCUUCUGAAUUACUCUCCAUUCUCUAACCAUCCUUUACGGUUGAGCCCUAGUAUUUUUUGUACCUUUUCUAGCCAUUGUUUACAACAAUUGCAUUGAAAAUGUUAAGAAUAGGGAUGAAUAAUGCUGAUACGACAUAAAGAAACUUGAAUGAAGUGAAUUAAAUUGAGAAACACAAGGAGAAUCAAGGAAAAAAGCCCAAAAACCAAAGAUAUUGUAACACCCCUACCCAUAUCUGAUGAGUCGUUGAGAGCACCAAAAACAUCCUAUUCCCUGUAAAAUAGUAAAAAAUAAUAGUAAAGGGGAAGUAGGGUCGAAUCCUCAGGGAUCGGAUUGUACGAAUGCUCGUUCUUGAAAUCCUGGACAAUUUCUUGGCCAAGAAAACUUGCGUUCCUAAAAAAUAAAAAAUAAAAUUAAAAAUCUGGAAAAAUAAAAACAGAAUUUAAAGUGAAUUGAAUUUUCGAAAUUAAAUAAAUUGCAGAAAUUGAAAUGAGGAAAAAUAAAUAGAGUUGAGAAAAGAGAAAGUUUCUUAUGUGGCAAGAUUCCAGCCUCCGUUUAUCGAUCCGCCUUGGGUUCAAUCCUUGGUUUUUAAGUAACCCUUCUCAACUCAAGUAAGCCAGUUAUAGUGGAAGAGGACGCCUACGACCACCAGCUCCAAAGAUUAGACUUACGAUUUUUAGGGAACCUGACUCUAGCCAGUAAUUUAUGCUAGAUCAACGCUUCUCAAUGGCGAAUCCCAUGCCAUUUUGUCUCUUUGGCUCGCCAACCUUUGACGCAGUAAGUUAACGAACCGACUGUGCAAUCCUUCCAAAACAUACAAAGCGGCCGCCUUUGCAUAUGCUGAAAAGCUUAUUUCUUAAGGACCAUGGACGGAAGCGUCAGCCCGUAGUGCGGAGAAACGAUGAAUACUUGGCGAGAAGGCUAAAUACGGAUUCUAGGCCUCAAGAACCCUUUUUGGGGAAUAUUGACAACCUUCGGCUGGAUGGGUUUUAGUGGCUCAUGAUAAUGGUGGAAAAGAAAAUAAAUAUAAAAAUGAAAAAGGAAAUUUUAUUGAAAGAAAAUAUGAAGAAACAAAAGCCUAGACUUUCAGGGGGAGAGUGUUUACAGAAAAAGAUGAACACCUCCAAAUAGAGCCACUUCACCCCCUAUUUAUAGUGCUAGGGAGAUAGUCUAAUUUAACUUAAAUUCUAAAAAGAUAAUUAAAGAUAAUUAAAAUUAAAUCCUAAAAUUAAAUAAUAUUAAUAAUUAUAUUAAUACUAAUUAUCCUAAUAUAAAUAAAAUGGAGUCUUAUAAAAUAAAAUCUCUUGUUUUUGCGUUUUUAGUCCUUGUGUCUUCCAUGCUCGCACUUUUGUCCCUUAAUUUUGCUUUUGCCUCCAAAUCAGUCCCUAAUCGAUAAAAAGACAUAAAUAGCUCAAAUUAGUAGGAUCAAGCCCAGAAUAAACACAUGAUUAAUACAUAAAAAUACGUUAUUCUAGAGCAUUAUCAGUAUCCGUCGCCGGAAUAGAGUACGAGGCAUUAUCGAGGAGUACGAAACACUUACAGAUAAUUUAAAUAUAUUUUCAUAACAACUAGUCUCGGUUUCAUACUGUUUCAUAUUUAAGCUUUACUUACCAAAGUAUUUGAAAUAUCAUCUUUAUGCAAAUAGCACACAUAAGGUACAUAAUUCCAUAAUUAUAAAUGAACACAUUUGUCAAACAUAUUCCAUAUUCAUACAUCGUUGCUCAGUGCCACGAUUCACAACUCAGUAUGGUUUUCCUUAUUGAAAUACCAUACCUAUAUUUCACAACUCGGUAUGGGAAAUGCCAUAUCUACGUUCUUGACUCAGUAUAUAUAAUACCAUACCUACAUUUCACAACUCGGUAUGGAUGAUACCAUACCUACAUUUCACAACUCGGUAUGGAUGAUACCAUACCUACAUUUCACAACUCGGUAUGGUUAAUACCAUACCUACAUUUCACAACUCAGUAUGGAUGAUACCAUACCUACGUUUCACACUUUUACAUGGAUCAACCAUUGUCUUUUCCGUCCAUUCAUCUUGUCACUGAACUGAAGUGUUCAAUUUGAUCAUUUAUUCAAUUUUCAUGCUUUUACAUUAUAAACGAUUUUAUCAUCAAUGCAUAUGAAAUAACACAUCAUGAAAUUCAUAAAAUUAACAAAUGGUCACUAAAAUUUAGUUAUACAAACUCACAAGUUUGAUUUUUGUAUUAUAACGAUAAUUAUAAUUUCAUAAAAAAUAUUCCAAAUAAAACAUUAUAUCAUUUCUAAUUCAACAUUUAUUGAUUAUAAUCGGGCAUGUGAUUAAUUUAUACACAAGUCAUUCACAUAUAUAUAUUAUUUUUUAUUUUUCCUCCUCCUCCUCUCCAUCCACAUCCUUGAUAUAAAUAACACACUUGUUGUAACGACCCGAAUUUUACCGUUACCGAAAAAGUGUAUUUUCGGGUCUUCGUUUCUGAAAAAUGGAUUCGUAAAGUAAAAUGAGUAGUUAAUUAGAGUUUAAUUAAAUGAAUUUAAUUUAAUUAAGAGUAAUUAAGUAAAAGGACCAAAUUCAAUAAGGGGUAAAAGUUGAAUUAUAGAUUAAAAGAAAAUAAAAAGGACUAAAAGGGAAAUUAUACAAAAAGUAUAAAUUGAGGCGGUUUAUCGUGAAAAAAAUCUAAGAUUUUUUUUUAUGUUUAGUAUAUUAUUAUAUUAUUAUAUAAUAAAGAUACUUUAUGUUUUAAUUAUAUUAUAUUAUAUUAUAUUAUAUUAUAUUAUAUAUAUAUAAACUAAAGAAUCAAAUGAAAGGAAAUAGAAACAGAAUGGAACGAAACAGAGAGCAGGGGAGAAAAAGAAAGAAAGAAGGGGAGAAAAGGGAAAAUUGAAGGUUUGAAGCUUUAAGCUUUAAUAGGUAAGUCAAUCAAGCCCUUUUUACUUAAUUUUGAUGUUUUAGAAGUUUUAGAACAAAGUUUUGAUGAAAUUAAGUUGAUAUUUUGAUAGUUAUUAGAUUUCUAGAUAUUGUCCAUGUUAAAUAAAAUGAUGAAUUAAGGGCUAAAUUGAUAGAAAUUCAAGUUAAAAAUGAUACAAGGAUUGAAUUGUAAAGUGAUUCAUAAGUUUUAUGCUUUAAGGACUAAAUUGAAAGAAUUUCGAAAUUAUGGUUUUAUGAUGAAAAAUAGAUAAUUAUGUCUAAGUUUGGUUUAAAAUUGAGUAGAAAUAAAGUACGAAUUAAGAUAGAAAAGUAAGUUAAUUUAGUUAGAAUUAAAUUGAAAUUAAAGUAAAUCAACAUUUUGUACUAAGACUAUUUUGGACAGCAGCAGUAGUCUAAGUUUGAAAAAUCACCAAAAAUUGUAGAAAUUGAAUUAGAGGAUGAAUAAAAUAUGGAAUUAAAGAUUGUUGAGUCUAGUUUCUUAUAGAAGAAACGAUGUAGCAAUUGAAUUGUAAAUUAUGAUAUAUAAUGAAUUUUGUUAGACAAGGUCAGAAUGAAUUCGGGUUCCCCUGUUCUGACUUUGGAAAAUCACCAAAAAUUGAAGAAAAAUAAUUAGAGGCUUAAAUUUAUAUGUUUAGAAUCCCUAAUCAGUCUAUUUAUAGGAGAAAUCAACGGGAAUGUUAUCCGAGUUCUGUACUGUGAGAUAAUUAAUUUUUAGUGAAGAAGGGACGAAACUGUUAGAGAGCAGAAUAGGGGUGAAUUUAAAGAAUAAACUGUACUUAAUGGCUAAACCAAAAAUUCUAAAAAUUUUAUUGUAAGAAGAUUUGUGAGUCUAGUUUCAGGAAAAAUUAGCGGAUCUUAAUUUAGAAUUCUGUAACUCAAGAUAUGAAUUAGCAAUGUAUUAAUGAUUAUGAAUUGUAUUAAUUUUGUAGUCAAUGUGGUACCGGAAAUCUCGGCUAAGAAAGGACAAGACAAAGUCAACGGGAGUUAGCUCGAAAAUUACGGUUUGUAUUUCUAUAAUCCAAACUUAGUUAUUAUUUGUUAUAUUUAUAUACAUAUGGCAAUUGUUAGUGUUAGAAUUAUGAUGUUUUACAAUUGGAAUGGAUUGAUUUUGGUAUGCGAUGAAUUUAUUGAAUUUAUAUUGAUUGAAAUUAUUUUGAUUGAAUUUAUAUUGAUUGAAUUAUAUAAUAUACAUGAUUUAUGUAGAAAUUUGAAUAUUGAAUGAAUGUUAUAUUGAAAAAUAUAUUGAUUGGAAAUAUGAGGAAAUUGAUAUGAAUAUAUGAGAUUAUGAUAUUUGAAUAUUUGAUAUUGAAAAGUAAAUUGAAUUGUAUUGAAUUAUGAAUUAAUGUGAAUAAUUGAAAUAUAUUGUUGAAUUGAAUGAAAUUGUAUGAAUUGUGAAAAUGGGUGAAUAUAUGUGAUUAUUAGAAUGGUAUAUUGAUGAAAGAAUUAUUAAAUUGAGAAAGUGAAUGAAAUACCCUACUAACUAGUCGGGCUGAGUCGGAUAUAAUUGGCAUGCCAUAGGAUCUGGAAGUGUACGGGAUUUGCCGGCUUUAUCGAUCAGGCACUUUAUGUGUCGUAUUUCAGGCACCUUGUGUGUCGUUUUAGGCACUUUAUGUGUCGUAUACUGAUCAGGUACUAUGUACCGUUUUAGGCACAAUGUGUCGUACUGGUGUGUUUGGGUUGGAAUCCGUGUAUCCGUCAAAGUCUGGGUUUGUUAAUAGGGGUAAAUAAGUGAAAGAUAAAUCGAAUAAAUUUGAUUGAUCAAGCUAUUGAAAUGAAAUGAGAAAUUGAAUUGAGAAUUGAAAAUUUAGAUAUGAAAUUGAAAAUAUGAACCAAAGGUUCAUGAAAUGAUUGGAGUUCGAAUUGAUGAUAUAUGAUGCCACUUGAUGAAUUGAAAUGUGAUUUGAGAUAUAUGAAUCGUAUGUAUAUACUGAAAGCUAUCAGGGAUAGUAAGUUGAUAUGAUAUAAAUGAAAUUGACUGUUAUUGAAAUGAAUUAAAAUGGAAUAUGAUUGAUAAGUGUAUAGUUGAAUAUAGUUUAAUGAUAUUGAAUUGUGAGUAAAUUAAGGAAAGCUAUACCGAGUAGUAAGUGAAAGAAUGGAGUAAAUAAUAAUAGAUUUAGUGAAGAAUUGAACAAUUAUGUUAUUGUGUUUAUUAUAUGAUUUGUAUAAAAUUUAUAUGGUAAGUAGUUGAAAUUUAUCUAUGAAUUAAUAAUUGAAUAAUUUUAAUUGUUAUUAUGAUCUUAAGUAUUUGUUAUAUUAUUAAUUGCUCGGAUUAUAGAAAUACCACUGAGUAUGCCAUACUCAGCGUACGGUUUGUUUCCGUGCGCAAGUUAAGUAAAGAUAGUACGUUGAAUUAGCAUCCCAAGACGAUCCCGAAUUCAUUAAGGUAAAGUAUGUUGAGUAUUGAUAAUAGCAUGUACCCAGGAUGUUUAAUGAGAGUCAUUUAGGUUAUAGAAGUAUUGAUGAAAUGAGUAAAUUACGGUUGGCAACGGUAUGUAGUAUGAAUUUUGAAAUUUACUAAAAAUUCGUAGUGAUUCUAAAUUAGUCCCGAAUUGAAUUUACUGUUCAUAUUGGACCGCAAGGGCCUAUUAAAGGGACAACAUCUUAAAACUAGGAUGUGUGUGAAUAUUUAUUUUAAUUAAUGACCGGAAUUGGACUGUACUGACUGGUAAUGUCUCAUAACCCUGUUCCGGUGACGGUAUAGGGUUAGGGGACGUUACACUUGUAAGUAAGCUUAUCCAUAAUUUUCACUAAUUACUUAUGUGAAAAUUCAAGCUAUCCACCCGUGUCAUAGUCACUAAAUUAUUUAUAUAUGGAGCUACGAAACUCCAAAUUAAUAUUUGCUAAUUUUCCCUGAAACUAGACUCACAAAUAUUCUUACUAUAAAAUUUUCAGAAUUUUUAGUUUAACCAAUAAGUACAAUUUAUUCUUUAAAGUCACCCAUGUUCUGCUGUCUGAUAGUUUCGACCCUUCUUCAUUAAAAAUUAAUUAUCUACUCUUACAGGAUUCUAAUGAUGUUCCCAUUUAUUUCUAUUGAAAAUAGACUCAUUCAGGAUUCUAUACAUAUAAAUUUAAGCCUCUAAUUAUUUUUCUUCAGUUUUUUAUAAUUUUUCAAAGUCAGAAUAGGGGAACCCGAAUUCAUUUUGACCUUGUCUCACAAAAUUCAUUAUAUCUCAUGAUUUACAAAUUCAUUACUUACACCGUUUCUUCUAUGAGAAACUAGACUCAAUAAGCUUUAAUUUAAUAUUUUUUCAUUUUCUAAUUCGAUUUAUAAAAUUUAUGGUGAUUUUUCAAAGUUAGUCUACUGCUGCUGUCUAAAAUUGUUUUAGUGCAAGCUGUUUAUUACCAUUUUUCCCCUAAGCUUUUAAUAAAUAACAAUUUCGUCCCUACUCAAUUAGCCUCUCAGUUGAGCUGAUUUUUCUCAAUCAACACUUUAUUCUAUCACUUUAAAGUACUUUACAACCUUUGGAAAUCAUAAUUUCAGCACUAGACUUUAAUUCCAAACAUUUUCACAAUUAGGUCAUAAAAUCAAUUUCCAUAAAUUUUACUUGAUAAAAUUAUCAUAUAUCUAAAUUAAAACUUCAAUUCUAUGUUUAUUCAUCAUAUUAUUCCAGAACUCAUCCAUAAAAACUUUAAAAAUUAACCAUGAAAUCAAAAACUAAUUAAAUAGUAAGUUGGACCUAAUUGUAAAAGUCCAAAAACAUAGAAAUUUCUAGAAGAAAGCAAGAAUUAAACUUACAUGUAGCUAGAGAAUGAAAACCAGCUUGAACCCUCUUUCAUGGCUGUUUUUCAGCUGAUGAAAAUAAAGAAAAAUGAAGAGAAUUCUAGAUAUUCCAAUUUGGUCUCAUUUUUAUUUAGCUAAUUUUGACAAUUUUCCAAUUUUGCCCUUAUUUCACCCCUUUUCCUAAUUUUUCUCAGCUAUUGCCGCCCAAAAUAUCUCCUUUGGGCUUAUUUGCACUUUAGGUUCUUCCUUAUUUGACAAUUGAGCUAUUUAAUCUUUUUUGCAACUUUUACACCUUUUUCAAUUUAGUCCUUUUUAUUUAAUUAACCACCCAAACGUCAAAAUUUUGUGACGAAAUUUUAAUACUACCUCACUAACACUCCAUAAAUAUUUCUAAAAAUAUUUAUGGCUCGAUUUAUGAAGUUGAGGUCUCGAUACCUCAUUCUCAACCCAAUUUACCUAAUUAAUUCUUUUAAAUCACUUGCUUCACUAAUUCAAAAACACUCCUAUAUUCACACUUGCCUCGUAGAUAUUAAUUUAUUAAAUUUUUGACUCAUUCGUCAGAUUCAGUGAUCUCAAAUCACUGUUCUGAUACCACUAAAAAUUAGGCUGUUACAGAUAUUGCCGAUGAAAAUAAUUAUACAAAAGCGAGAUUGUAGAAAGAAACUUUAAGAAUUUCAAGCAGCAAAAUUGUGUUUCAAACAAAGAGACAAAAUAUAUAUAGUGACUCCUUCAGAAUUGCCUUAUUUCACUUCAUAACUUUGCGGCCAAUAAUAACUCAACAUUUAUCGUCCCCAACCAGUUGUUGAUCAUUGUUUCAAUCCCCAAACAUAGUUAGUUCUAAUUAGCAUUGAUGAGGAGUAUUCAAUAAGUCUUAUGGUGAUCCUUCAGCUUCAAAUGAUGUACUAUCCAUAUUUACUAUGUUGGCAUACCUCUGGUUAUUCCACACUAUUGUACAACUUUUGGACAAUAAUGUCUCAAAGCAAGCCACUUUAUAACCUAUUUUUCGACUAAAAAGGGGACAAUUGUUACACUUACCACCCGAGCUUAACAUGUGGCAAAUCUAGAAAACCUUAUGUGGGCAACAGAAAGGAACCUACACCUCUCCAUUC
rnacentral:lncRNA from 1 species